rnacentral:rRNA from 1 species
UACGAAGGACCCGAGCGUUAUCCGGAUUUAUUGGGCUUAAAGGGUGCGUAGGCGGACACGCAAGUCAGUGGUGAAAUCCCUCAGCUUAACUGAGGAACUGCCAUUGAAACUAUGUGUCUUGAGUACAUUUGAGGCGGGCGGAAUGUGUCAUGUAGAGGUGAAAUUCUUAGAUAUGACACAGAACACCAAUUGCGAAGGCAGCUCGCUAGACUGUAACUGACGCUGAGGCACGAAAGCGUGGGGAGCAAACAGG